ACUCCUACGGGAGGCAGCAGUGGGGAAUAUUGCACAAUGGGCGCAAGCCUGAUGCAGCCAUGCCGCGUGUGUGAAGAAGGCCUUCGGGUUGUAAAGCACUUUCAGUCGUGAGGAAGGUAGUGUAGUUAAUAGCUGCAUUAUUUGUACGUUAGCGACAGAAGAAGCACCGGCUAACUCCGUGCCAGCAGCCGCGGUAAUACGGAGGGUGCGAGCGUUAAUCGGAAUUACUGGGCGUAAAGCGCAUGCAGGUGGUUUGUUAAGUCAGAUGUGAAAGCCCGGGGCUCAACCUCGGAAUAGCAUUUGAAACUGGCAGACUAGAGUACUGUAGAGGGGGUAGGAAUUUCAGGUGUAGCGGUGAAAUGCGUAGAGAUCUGAAGG
rnacentral:rRNA from 1 species